CCUACGGGAGGCAGCAGUGGGGAAUAUUGCACAAUGGGGGAAACCCUGAUGCAGCGACGCCGCGUGAGUGAAGAAGUAUUUCGGUAUGUAAAACCCUAUCAGCAGGGAAGAAAAUGACGGUACCUGAUGAAGAAGCCCCGGCUAACUACGUGCCAGCCGCCGCGGGAAUAAGUAGGGAGCAAGCGUUAUCCGGAUUUAAUGGGGGUAAAGGGAGCGUAGACGGCAGCAAAAGUCCGGAGGGAAAUGCCGGGGGUUAACCCCGGAACUGCCUUGGAAACUGUUGAGCUAGAGUGCAGGAGAGGUAAGCGGAAUGCGUGGUGUAGCGGUGAAAUGCGUAGAUAUUAGGAGGAACACCAGUGGCGAAGGCGGCUUACUGGACUGUAACUGACGUUGAGGCUCGAAAGCGUGGGGAGCGAACAGGAUUAGAUACCCGAGUAGUC
rnacentral:rRNA from 1 species